GACAGAGGGUGCAAACGUUGUUCGGAAUUACUGGGCGUAAAGCGCGUGUAGGCGGCUAUGCAAGUCGGAUGUGAAAGCCCUCGGCUCAACCGGGGAAGUGCACCCGAAACUGCAAAGCUAGAGUCUCGGAGAGGAUCGUGGAAUUCUCGGUGUAGAGGUGAAAUUCGUAGAUAUCGAGAGGAACACCGGUGGCGAAGGCGGCCUUCUGGACCAUUCCUGACACUGAGACGCGAAAGCGUGGGUAGCAAACAGG
rnacentral:rRNA from 1 species